GACGAACGCUGGCGGCGUGCUUAACACAUGCAAGUCGAACGGAAAGGCCCUGCUUUUGUGGGGUGCUCGAGUGGCGAACGGGUGAGUAACACGUGAGUAACCUGCCCUUGACUUUGGGAUAACUUCAGGAAACUGGGGCUAAUACCGGAUAGGAGCUCCUGCUGCAUGGUGGGGGUUGGAAAGUUUCGGCGGUUGGGGAUGGACUCGCGGUUUAUCAGCUUGUUGGUGGGGUAGUGGCUUACCAAGGCUUUGACGGGUAGCCGGCCUGAGAGGGUGACCGGCCACAUUGGGACUGAGAUACGGACCAGACUCCUACGGGAGGCAGCAGUGGGGAAUAUUGCACAAUGGGCGGAAGCCUGAUGCAGCAACGCCGCGUGCGGGAUGACGGCCUUCGGGUUGUAAACCGCUUUCGCCUGUGACGAAGCGUGAGUGACGGUAAUGGGUAAAGAAGCACCGGCUAACUACGUG
rnacentral:rRNA from 1 species